AUGCUUGAUUGGUCCCAAGAUUUGCUUUCUUCACCGAGUUUCCGCACUUUUUUUCAACGACCGUUCUCCAGCAGGAGGAAAUUGUGAUUCAAAGCAAAGUUCAUGGAGUAUCGAUAUUUCCCAUCUCGAUCAAAGUAUCGAUAUCGCCCGCGACGGGUGCGAACCGCGCGACCUCUUCCCAUCUUUUGGCCCGUUUAUAGCCCGUUUUGGAGGCUCGGCAAUUUUCGGCGAUCCAAAUAAUCCUCGCAUUCCUCGCGCGCGUUUAGCGGCGCGCGGUGCGAUAUUUUUGGACGCGCCGCUUCUUCGCUGGUCUUCGCAUCGGCCAGCACUGCGGCGUUAUCGUUAUCGCGUCAAUAUCGGUAACGGCAUAGCUCAAUCUAUUCAUCGGCUGCUUUUGCCUUCUCGCUCCGAGUUGUUCCACGGUGACUUUGACUGACAUUCCGUCCGCCACUUAUAGCAACUCGUAUGUCGACGUAGGUACUCGUAGGAGUCAUAGGUAACCGAGGAACAUCGUCGUCGUCGUUGUCGACCCGUGGAGCUGCACUGUGCUGCACCCUGCUGCACUCUCCUUUUUUUUUCUUUCUCUGAUGCGCGUUGUUCACCUCGUGUCCUGGGACUUCUGGGGUGCAAAAAGUGCGAGUGUGUCACGAAAACGCUGAAAAAGAGUCCUCUCCUGAGAAGCUUCUUGGACUACAUGGUUACUGAGCUAACAUUUAGCGGCUGAAAUCGGCGAGUUGAAGAAGGAGAGAGAUUGGACAAACCCACUUGUGGUCUCCCCAAGAUCUCCCUUUCGAAAAUUCAUACAGGCCUUUUAAAAAGAUUUCCCUAAUCCUGCGGUUCCGACGAACGUCAUCAGUAAUCUGAGAUCGAAUCCCUUUCUCUCGAUACAAUGGAUAUCGACGCCGACACUUGUCUCAAGGAAUGGAACGAUUUGGUGCAAGACUACAAGGAACUGGAGGCACUAAAUAGGGAAUAUAUUUUGAAAUUAGAAGAAAUUGGCGAGCUGCAAGCAAAAUGCAUCAAAGGUAUCUCUCAUCAGAAAUAUCGAAUGGGUGUAAUAUCCAAAUCCUUAAAACAGCUAAAUACAAAAGAAACACAAGAAGAAUUGCAAAAAUCUAUGACGAGGAGAGAACAGCAGCUCAGAGAGAUUGAGCAAACUUUACCUAAAUCAAACGGCAUUUACUUACAAAUUAUUCUAGGCAGUGUUAAUGUCUCCAUAUUAAAUAAAAGUGACAAAUUCAAGUAUAAAGACGAAUAUGAGAAAUUCAAAUUAGUGCUGUCCGUAAUUGGAUUUGUCUUAUCUGUAUUAAAUCUGUUUACCAAUAUAAGAACCUUAGAACUUAGUUUUAUGUUUCUUCUCGUUUGGUACUAUUGUACAUUAACGAUAAGAGAAAGUAUACUCAAGGUAAAUGGAUCAAGAAUUAAAGGAUGGUGGAGAUUCCAUCAUUUUCUCUCAACAGUAGUAUCCGGGGUUCUACUAGUCUGGCCGAAUACUGGACCGUGGUAUCAAUUUCGUAACCAAUUCAUGUGGUUUAAUGUGUAUAUCAGUGUAGUCCAAUAUUUGCAAUUUCGGUACCAACGUGGCGUUUUGUAUCGGUUAAAAGCACUGGGAGAGAGGGACAAUAUGGACAUUACUAUUGAGGGAUUUCAUUCGUGGAUGUGGCGCGGUCUCUCAUUUCUGCUGCCGUUCCUCUUCGCUGGUUAUUUGUUUCAACUUUAUAAUGCGUACACGUUAUACGAACUAGCAUACCAUCCAGAGGCGACAUGGCACGUACCAGUACUUAGCGCCAUGUUCCUCGUAUUAUUUCUGGGUAAUACUACCACCACCAUCAUGGUAAUCCCACAGAAACUCGUCAAGGAUCGCGUUAAGGAUCAACUAUUCGCUUUUAAACCUGAUCACAGGAAAGAGGGAAGAACACGAGAUAAGAACAAUAAAGAUGAAAAAAGUGAGUGAAGGAAGAAUUUCGAGUACUUCCAGCUGAUGAAAAUUUCGACUUAAUUACAUGGAAAAUAAAUUGGAGGAAAAAUCACAAAGAUAAGAUGAAUACGCUAUAAAAUGGUGUUGGUGUUGGCUCUAAAAUAUAACGAACACAACACUUUGUUGCGUUUAGCAAUGGAAGUACACAUACACGCAUAUACGAUAUCCACCAACGUCAAAGCGCAGAUACUAGCUGAAGUGAAAUUCAAACACAAAAAGGAAAAAGAGAAAGUAUUAGCGUACGUGCAGGUAGAAUAUAAAUCAAUGAGAAGAACCGACUAGAACUGGCAACUGUAGCUACGCCACUGUCUGAAAAAGCAAUAGUUUAGUCAUCGCAA